CAAGUUCACAUAAGCCUGGGGCUUUUUCUAAGUCAAAUGAAUAUACAGGAGCUCAUCAACCGUGGCGAAACUUCACUCCUCUUCACUCCUAAGGGGCAAGUUUGGCUUCAUGAAGUUAACGAGGAUUAGUUAAUGAAAAGUCUAUAAAUACUUGAGAUGUGGGUUCAUAAUUUACACACACUCUUCACCACCUUUAUGGUGGAAUGGCUUUGUGCCUUGCACACUACUACACACAAAUAAAUCAUAGCUUAGUUUUGUAAUAUAUAUAUAUAUUUAGAAGCUAGGGUUUGUGAGUGUACGUAGUAGUAGCCAUUGUAGCCAACCUUCGGGUUUGGAUUUAUAGCACUGUUCGGGGUAUUUAUCAAUAUACAGAUAUACUUUAGAAAAUAUUGUGUGUUGGUUUAAUAUUUUCAUAUCCUCAGAAACCGACCCGAUAUAUAUCCAGAACACGAAACCCAUUACAAGACUGCAAUUUAUUUAUCCGCAAGAUUCGAAACAAUUUUAAAUUGUAGUGAGUAUCGUAUUCAACCCCCCCUUCUACGAUACUUUGGACCUAACAAUUGGUAUCAGAGCAGGCUGAUUGAUAUACAAAU
rnacentral:lncRNA from 1 species